rnacentral:rRNA from 1 species
CCUACGGGGGACAGCAGUGAGGAAUAUUGGUCAAUGGACGAGAGUCUGAACCAGCCAAGUAGCGUGAAGGAUGACUGCCCUAUGGGUUGUAAACUUCUUUUAUAUGGGAAUAAAACGUUCCACGUGUGGGAUUUUGUAUGUACCAUAUGAAUAAGGAUCGGCUAACUCCGUGCCAGCAGCCGCGGUAAUUCGGAGGAUCCGAGCGUUAUCCGGAUUUAUUGGGUUUAAAGGGAGCGUAGGUGGAUUGUUAAGUCAGUUGUGAAAGUUUGCGGCUCAACCGUAAAAUUGCAGUUGAAACUGGCAGUCUUGAGUACAGUAGAGGUGGGCGGAAUGCGUGGUGUAGCGGUGAAAUGCUUAGAUAUCACGAAGAACUCCGAUUGCGAAGGCAGUUCACUGGACUGCAACUGACACUGAGGCUCGAAAGUGUGGGUAUCAAACAGGAUUAGAUACCCCUGUAGUC